GUUAGGAUAGCCUUAUGCCUAUCCCACGCAUGCUUAAACUCCUUUACUGUGUUAACCUCUACCACUUCAGCUGGAAGGCUAUUCCAUGCAUCCACUACCCUCUCAGUGAAGUAAUACUUCCUGAUAUUAUUUUUAAACCUUUGUCCCUCUAAUUUAAGACUAUGUCCUCUUGUUUUGGUAGUGUUUCUUCUUUUAAAUAUAGUCUCCUCCUUU